AGAGGUGAAGAUACGCAGGACGUCCUCUAAAGCAACUUCCGUGGGUGCCAGGUUGUGGGCUGGGGGCGGUGCUGACCUUGAGAGAGCGGAGGAGGCGCAGGCGCAGCACAGUUUAAACUUGAUUUUGUGAGGGGACGAACAGCGUGACAAUUAAAAGAAGAUCUGGGAAUCAAAAGCUUCCUGAGGCCUUCACCAGAAGCAGAUGCUGGUGCCGUGCUUCUACAGCCUGCAGAACUGAAGGACUUUACAGCUUCUCUUUCGCAUAUCCAAAUUGCCAGCAUCACCGCUCUUGCACUCCAAGCCAUUAUUAAGUAAAGUAAAGAACACAAACACUGUGAUACUGCUACACUUGAUCUGAUAACCAAGAAGUCUACUAAGUGACUAACAGCAGAGCAACUGGGAACCUAAUUCUGACCAAAAAGGAGGAAUUGUUUGGCUAAUUGGAAGUGACAGAAACCUUGGGAGAAAGCAACCGCAUACCAAGGAUAAUUAUAAGAAGAAGAGAAGACAUGGAGAAGAGGAGGGAGUAGUUGUGACCGUGGAGGCAGAGAAUGGAGUAAUGUGAUCAUAAAUCAAGGAAUGCUGACAGCCACUAAAGCUGGAGAAGGCCAAGGACAGAUAUUCAAUCCUCCCGUAGAAGUACAGCCCUGCUAAUGCAUUGAUUUUGGACUUCUGGCCUCAGAACUGUAAGAGAAUAAAUUUCUAUUGUUUUAAGCCUUCA
rnacentral:lncRNA from 1 species